rnacentral:rRNA from 1 species
AUUGAACGCUGGCGGCAGGCCUAACACAUGCAAGUCGAGCGAGUGGCGGACGGGUGAGUAAUGUCUGGGGAUCUGCCCGAUGGCGGGGGAUAACUACUGGAAACGGUGGCUAAUACCGCAUACUAUCGGAUGUACCCAUAUGGGAUUAUCUAUUAGGUGGGGUAAAGGCUCACCUAGGCGACGAUCUCUAGCUGGUCUGAGAGGAUGACCAGCCGCACUGGGACUGAGACACGGCCCAUACUCCUACGGGAGGCAGCAGUGGGGAAUAUGGCGCAAUGGGGGCAACCCUGACGCAGCCAUGCCGCGUGAAUGAAGAAGGCCUUCGGGUUGUAAAGUUCUUUCAUUAGGGAGGCGUUAACUACAGAAGAAGCACCGGCUAACUCCGUGCCAGCAGCCGCGGUAAUUC